CCUACGGGUGGCAGCAGUGGGGAAUAUUGCACAAUGGGGGAAACCCUGAUGCAGCAACGCCGCGUGAAGGAAGACGGUUUUCGGAUUGUAAACUUCUGUUCUUAGUGAAGAAUAAUGACGGUAGCUAAGGAGCAAGCCACGGCUAACUACGUGCCAGCAGCCGCGGUAAUACGUAGGUGGCAAGCGUUGUCCGGAAUUACUGGGUGUAAAGGGAGCGCAGGCGGGAAGCCAAGUCAGCUGUUAAAACUACGGGCUUAACUUGUAGACUGCAUUUGAAACUGUUUUUCUUGAGUACCGGAGAGGUCAUCGGAAUUCCUUGUGUAGCGGUGAAAUGCGUAGAUAUAAGGAAGAACACCAGUGGCGAAGGCGGAUGGCUGGACGGCAACUGACGGUGAGGCGCGAAAGCGUGGGGAGCAAACAGGAUUAGAUACCCGGGUAGUC
rnacentral:rRNA from 1 species